rnacentral:tRNA from 1 species
GCAGAAGUAACUCAAUUUGGUAGAGUGUAAUCUUGCCAAGAUUAAAGAUGAGGGUUCAAAUCCCUUCUUUUGCU